CGAAUAUGGAUGUGCAUAAGCCAUCAAGCAUGAAGAUAUGCAGCCCAGGAAGCCUAUUCUGAUGUACUAGAGUUGGGAAGAGACAAGGAAUAUGUAGAGCCCAGGAAAAGACUACCUGAACAGAAAAAAAAUGUACACAGGACAUCUCUAAGUGAGAGAAUGACUACGAUCUGACGUGCAUUUAUGCCUUUUUCCUGAUACGGCCC